CUGGUUUUGCAAUCUUUUAAAAUUUUGUCCUUAACAGAAGAUAUAUUGGACCAAACAAUCAGCACGCUGCUAGCUAGAUUUUACCAACAAAAUGGAGCACACACGAUCACUGACAAAAGUCCUACACUACGUUGAACAACACAUCACACACCAACUAUCAGACGGACUGAAGGACAUAUACGAAUCUAGCUAAUACUACUGUAACUUCCUUGCGGAAGAGAAGACUGAAGAAGCAUCAUCAGAGACUGUCGGGGGUCGAUCCUUCCAUGUCAAUCGUCUGUCUUGGAUGAAGAAAAGCAGCUGCAGAGCAUAGCCAGCAUGCUCUUCUUCACACCGUUGUGGUCGGCCUGCAUCCUUCCUUCUUCCUUCGGGGCGAACGACUGAAAAAAUGGAAGGCGAAACACCUGAAAACUCUAGAGCACUUCUGCUUCAACUGAGCAAGAGAAAGCUGGGUGUUGUGGC
rnacentral:lncRNA from 1 species